rnacentral:rRNA from 1 species
AGAGUUUGAUCCUGGCUCAGGAUGAACGCUAGCGGCAGGCCUAACACAUGCAAGUCGAGGGGUAACGAUGGCUUCGGCCAGGCGACGACCGGCGGACGGGUGAGUUCCGCGUUUGUAACCUACCUCUAACUGGAGCAUAGCUCCCGGAAACGGGAAUUAAUUCUCCAUAAUAUUCUAACAUGGCAUCAUGUUUUUAUUAAAGCUCAGGCGGUUAGAGAUGGGCAUGCGUGACAUUAGCUUGUUGGUAAGGUAACGGCUUACCAAGGCUGCGAUGUCUAGGGGGUCUGAGAGGAUGAUCCCCCACACUGGUACUGAGACACGGACCAGACUCCUACGGGAGGCAGCAGUGAGGAAUAUUGGGCAAUGGACGCGAGUCUGACCCAGCCAUGCCGCGUGCAGGAUGACAGCUCUAUGAGUUGUAAACUGCUUUUAUACAGGAAGAAAUCCUCCGACGUGUCGGAGGUUGACGGUACUGUACGAAUAAGCAUCGGCUAACUCCGUGCCAGCAGCCGCGGUAAUACGGAGGAUGCAAGCGUUAUCCGGAUUUAUUGGGUUUAAAGGGUGCGUAGGCGGGGCAAUUAGUCAGUGGUGAAAUCCUGCGGCUUAACCGUAGAACUGCCAUUGAUACUGUUGCCCUUGAGUAUAGUUGAAGUGGGCGGAAUGUGUAAUGUAGCGGUGAAAUGCAUAGAGAUUACACAGAACACCAAUUGCGAAGGCAGCUCACUAAGCUAUAACUGACGCUGAGGCACGAAAGCGUGGGGAGCGAACAGGAUUAGAUACCCUGGUAGUCCACGCCGUAAACGAUGAUCACUCGUUGUUGGCAAUACAUCGUCAGCGACUGAGCGAAAGCAUUAAGUGAUCCACCUGGGGAGUACGAUCGCAAGAUUGAAACUCAAAGGAAUUGACGGGGGCCCGCACAAGCGGAGGAACAUGUGGUUUAAUUCGAUGAUACGCGAGGAACCUUACCUGGGCUUAAAUGCAAAACGACGUACCGGGAAACUGGUAUUCCCUUCGGGGCGAAUUGCAAGGUGCUGCAUGGCUGUCGUCAGCUCGUGCCGUGAGGUGUCGGGUUAAGUCCCAUAACGAGCGCAACCCCUAUUGUUAGUUGCCAGCGGAUAAUGCCGGGGACUCUAACGAAACUGCCAGUGUAAACUGUGAGGAAGGUGGGGAUGACGUCAAGUCAGCACGGCCCUUAUGUCCAGGGCUACACACGUGUUACAAUGGCCAGAACAGAGGGCAGCUACCUGGUGACAGGAUGCAAAUCUCAAAAUCUGGUCUAAGUUCGGAUCGAAGUCUGCAACUCGACUUCGUGAAGUUGGAUUCGCUAGUAAUCGCGCAUCAGCCACGGCGCGGUGAAUACGUUCCCGGGCCUUGUACACACCGCCCGUCAAGCCACGGAAGUUGGGAGCACCCGAAGACGUUUGCUUAACCGCAAGGAGAGCGGCGCCUAAGGUGAAACCGAUGACUGGGGCUAAGUCGGAACAAGGUA